GGGAGCACGGCCGACUCGGCUCGGGCGCGGCUCGGCUCGGGCGGCUCAGCUCGGCGCAACAACGCGUGGCGUGGCGGACGCGGCGUGGCGGACGAGCGCGAGCGACGCGACGGACACCAGGCUUCAGUCACCAUCCCCCCUAGCGCAAUAAAUGGAAAAAGGAUGACUGCACUCUUCCAUACCUCAUCAGCGUCAGAUCCAUAACCAAGAAGAAAGUCAAUGCAUGGGUUUGUGAAGCCUCUCACAGCACUGUUGGGGUUACAAAAGUCACGGUCGGGCAAAAUAUUGUGCAGCACACCCCUUCGCCAGAGGUCUAUCUUGUCAUGCGGCACGCCCAUCGCUUCGAAUAUUGCUGCAAUGGUAACACCUGCCAUAUCAUGAGCAUUCCAGACGACCACCAAGCCUGUGAUGCAUCGUUGACGGCCUCAUUGAUGUUGUCUCCUGUAAGGGAAUAGAGAGAUUGUUUUCAGGUAAGAAUCAAACUGAACAAGAAUAUUUCGAUGGCUCCCUGCAAAAGCAUACGUUCUGUACUAUACGCGUCUAAAACAUACGUUAUAUACGAUACGUGUCUAAAACAUACUAUCCGUUUUUAGCUGUUUUUGCAAGCAUAUUUUUGAUAGCUUACCAGAUUUGAGGGCAAAAAUUUAUUGUUUCUAUGGGAGGAAUACAAAGAGGUAAGAUCGAACUUUCACCUGAUACCGAGAAAUGAAUGUUUACUAACUUUCUUCUAUUCCCAAACGGCUGCCGAAAAUGUGCAAGCGAAAACCGCCGAAAACGGAUAGUAUGUUUUAGAGACGUACCGUAUAGAUCGUAUGGUUUAGACGCGUGCCGUAAAGAACGUAUGCUUUUGCAAGGAGCCGUCGAUUUGAUGUCUAGAUAUGUCCCACAAUUAUCUACUUACCUAUGGUUACACCCCAAUGACCUGCGAAUGUCAGGAUGUACAAUACGUCACCAACACGUUGUCUCACCUGAGAAUAAACAAGCAGGCCCGCCCUUCCGCCAAACGGAGUUACCAGCUCCGCUUCGCUGCGCCGGCAACUCCGUUCGGCAGGGGCCGGGCCUGCAGCCCGACCGUUUUUGCUGAAU